GGAGGAGUGGGUGCAGAUCGGGGUGGUUCCUGAAGAGGGACCCUGGCCAGGAGAACAGGGUCAGAUGUGCCUUAAGAACCUGUUACCCACAGCAAUUCUUCCUCCAGAAGAUAAACAUGAGCCCAUAUUCCAUGGACCACUUUAAAUCUGGGAAGAUGACGCUGGAGAGGCUGCCCAGACUGACAGCUUGCUUUGUGGUCCUGGAGAAUCCACCUUCUCACUGCCCAGAGUGCUUUGGAGACGGUUAUGUUCAACCUUAAAUUCACUCCCCAUGAGCUCCUUGGUGGUGCAAUUCCAGCUUUUCACCUCUACCUGAUCCCAGGUGACAACUCAGUGGAAAUAAGACAUAAGCCCUGGCACAGGGUGCCCAGAGAAGCUGUGUCUGCCCCAUCCCUGGAAGUAUCCAAGGCCAGGUCAGAUGGGACUUGGAGCCCCCUGGCCUAGUGGAAGAUAUCACUGCUGAUGGCAGGGGUGUGGACUAGAUGACCUUUAAAAGUCCGUUCCAACACAAACCAUUCUAUGAUUCUGUGAUUUCUUUUGCUGCUGAAGGACAGUCAG